rnacentral:rRNA from 1 species
GACGGAGGGUGCGAGCGUUGUUCGGAUUGACUGGGCGUAAAGGGCGUGUAGGCGGUCGGUCAAGUCCGGUGUGAAAGCCCGGGGCUCAGCCCCGGAAGUGCAUCGGAAACUAGCCGACUUGAGCGCGAUAGAGGAGGGUGGAAUUCCUGGUGUAGCGGUGAAAUGCGUAGAUAUCAGGAGGAACAUCGGCGGCGAAGGCGGCCCUCUGGCUCGUUGCUGACGCUGAGACGCGAAAGCGUGGGGAGCAAACAGG